UCUAAAUUUAGCUACUUAUGUUGC
rnacentral:siRNA from 1 species